UACGAAGGGGGCUAGCGUUGCUCGGAAUCACUGGGCGUAAAGCGCACGUAGGCGGAUUCUUAAGUCGGUGGUGAAAUCCUGGAGCUCAACUCCAGAACUGCCUUCGAUACUGCGGAUCUUGAGUCCGGGAGAGGUGAGUGGAAUUCCUAGUGUAGAGGUGAAAUUCGUAGAUAUUAGGAAGAACACCAGUGGCGAAGGCGGCUCACUGGCCCGGUACUGACGCUGAGG
rnacentral:rRNA from 1 species